rfam:Lactobacillus salivarius TCC118, complete genome.
GGGGAUGUUUAGGAUUCGACAGGUAUAGGUCGAGCUUAAAUUGCGUUUGGUAGGUUGCGGCUACCUAAAAACGCUCAGUUAAAAUAUAACUGCAAAAAAUAACAAUAACUCUUACGCUUUAGCUGCUUAGUCAGUUUUAGUGUAGAUCUUAGCUAGUAUUACCUACGUGCUAGGUGAGGUUAUAUAAUUUAGUAGGUUACGUUUACUUUUGCGGCGUGAGAAAGUAAAAAGAGAUUUUCAUGCUAGUUAGUGACGUUUGCCCUGACAUAUGGCGCUGUUGCUGAUGAAUUUUAAAUAGUAUGUCUAUGAACGUAGAGGUUUAGGUGGCGAUAUGCUUGGACGCGGGUUCGAUUCCCGCCAUCUCCAUAU